GCCAAGACAGUGUGUCAUGAACCACUUUAGGGAUACAUAGUUGGGAGGCCCAUGUGCCUCUUGUUUGGUAAGAGGUCAGUUAUAGAACUGUUUAAAAAUAUUUGAAUCAAAUUAAACCUAUACUUACAGUAGUAUCCUUUAUUUUCAUUUUGAAAGUUUUUUGGAGCAAUUUUGAAAAGUGCUAAUGCCUGCUUCAUUGUUAUACAGUGUGGUUUUAAUAAUAAUAAUCAUUUUCAUUUUUAUGACAAUAUUCCAGAUAUUUGAAUUACCGGUAAGAAUAAAAAAAUAAAACUUCUUUAUUGGUAACCUGUCAGGUUCUGGUGCCCAGAGAAUUCGGCUGUAUUUCUGUCAGGUGUGGUAACUAAUGAGUUUACCGAGGAGCAACACCCCUAUAACUUGAACAGAUGAGCUAGUCUUCACUGGUGAGAAUUAUCAGCUACCAUGGAUAUACUGGACCUGUUUGUGUCACCCUUGGAGCGGGAGUACUUGGAAGAAGACAUCCGUCCUGACUGAUCGAGGACAUGAGGUGUCCAGUGUUGACAUGUACUGGACCUGUUUGUGUCACCCUUGGAGCGGGAGUACUUGGACGAAGACAUCCGUCCUGACUGAUCGAGGACAUGAAGUGUCCAGUGUUGACAUGUACUGGACCUGUUUGUGUCACCCUUGGAGCGGGAGUACUUGGACGAAGACAUCCGUCCUGACUGAUCGAGGACAUGAGGUGUCCAGUGUUGGCAUGUACUGGAUCUGAUUGUGCCACCCCAGAAGUACAUUUGACAUCCAUCACUUACUUCUCUGGGCAAUGUGUUUUCCGCUCGAACCGCCGAAAUCAACUUACCCUUGGUAAGUGUCAUCACAGUCAGAGGCACCAUCUAUCUGCAGAGGAAGGGAGUUUCCAUAGUGUACGGUACAACACAAAAUUCAUAGACCCAAGGGGUAAACUUAUGCCCAUAUUAAGGGUUUCAGUAUGGCCGUACUUAGGGAGGAGGCCAGUGUCUGUCGUCGAGUGGAAUCAACUAUGGGUGUACUCACCUCGCGGACAUUACUGUGGGACUGCGGGAAACCUAUCAGCUGAUGGAGUUUGAUUUGUGUUAAUAUUUGACUGAUCCGGCAUGGGGCAUGUAAAGGCAGUGACCACCAAACUGAAAUGGAAAUUAACUAAUCCAUACGCCAGGAACAGGGCUGAAACGACAAGGAUUGCACCUGCAGUACAGCAGACAGGAUCCUUGGUGAGGCCCUCCUGUUGCUUGGACCAUCGGAGAUUUCACCAUUGCAGCUGGCACUGACCCCAAGGAGUCCAUCCCAUUAUUUGGCCAAGUUAGACGAUCCUGAUCAUGAGGGACACACAUACCAGUCCCAUGGUCAGAAGCUCUUCCAUCAGAUGAAACACCAGGAAUAACAGGCAAAGCUGUACCAUCAACAUGGCUGUACUUUUUGUCCAGGAAUCCAUCCCCUUAUUUGACCUAGUUAGACAAUCCUGAUUCUGAGGCCCUCAAUCCAGUCCCCAUGGUCAGAAGCUCUUCCAUCAGGUGAAACACCAGGAAUAACAGACAAAGCUGUACCAUCAAAAGAUGACUGUACUAUGAUAGUCACAGAUUUGACACAACUGCAGCAAAAACAGGUCAGCAUGUUAGCAAAACUGGAUGAAUACAAAUAUAGACACCUGGAUCUUGGUCACAGACUUCUACAUGUGAGAUAAUUAGGUCACAGACUUGGACAGGUGAGAUAAUUAGGUCACAGACUUAGACAGGUGAGAUAAUUAGGUCACAGACUUGGACAGGUGAGAUAAUUAGGUCAUAUACUUGGACAGGUGAGAUAAUUAGGCCACAGACUUG